AUACUUACCUUGCCUGACGUCGAGUUGAUCACGAAUAACUCGGCGUAGAGAGGGAAACCUGCAUUGCACAUCGCGGAGUUGACCUCUCUCGAUUGCCCUUCGGGGAGAUCGGGGGUGGAUUUUUUGGUUGCCCAUUGUUUUCAUUGUG
rnacentral:snRNA from 1 species